AUACUUACCUGUCCUGAUACCAGCAUCACAAAGGUGGUUUUACUAGGGCCAGGCAUAACCAUUGCACACAAGAUAUGCUGACCUCUGUGAAUUCCCCAAAUGUAGAAAAUUAGACUGCAUAAUUUGUAGUAAUGGGGAGAUGUUCUCACUCCCCC
rnacentral:snRNA from 1 species